rnacentral:rRNA from 1 species
GAUGAACGCUGGCGGCGUGCCUAAUACAUGCAAGUCGAGCGAACAGACGAGGAGCUUGCUCCUUUGACGUUAGCGGCGGACGGGUGAGUAACACGUAGGUAACCUACCUAUAAGACUGGGAUAACUUCGGGAAACCGGAGCUAAUACCGGAUAAUAUUUCGAACUGCAUGGUUCGAUAGUGAAAGAUGGCUUUGCUAUCACUUAUAGAUGGACCUGCGCCGUAUUAGCUAGUUGGUAAGGUAACGGCUUACCAAGGCAACGAUACGUAGCCGACCUGAGAGGGUGAUCGGCCACACUGGAACUGAGACACGGUCCAGACUCCUACGGGAGGCAGCAGUAGGGAAUCUUCCGCAAUGGGCGAAAGCCUGACGGAGCAACGCCGCGUGAGUGAUGAAGGUCUUCGGAUCGUAAAACUCUGUUAUUAGGGAAGAACAAACGUGUAAGUAACUGUGCACGUCUUGACGGUACCUAAUCAGAAAGCCACGGCUAACUACGUG